rnacentral:lncRNA from 1 species
AGAGGGUAGAAAGGGACAACUUCAAGAGCAGAACUGCGGCCUCCAGUGCUGAAAAGGUGCCAGGCAUCAACCCUAGGUGGGCACAAACCCCAAGUUGCUACCAUCUCCAGGGGAUGCAUUUUCUCUUUGGCUGGAGCUCCCAGACACUGCCUGGGAGAACAGGCAGACACGGAUCCUUGUGUCUUCCUUGUGGCUGGUGGGAGCCAUGAGGAGGGUGGGUCCUUGACUUAGGUCCUGCCAUGGUGUGGGUGGGGCCUCCAUCCUGGCCCUGCCCUGACCAAUGCUUUCCCUGCAGCUUUGUGUUCCUACAGCUCUACCAUUCACCCUUUUUUGGUGAUGAGUCCAAUAAGCCCAUCCUGUUGCCCAACGAGUCCUUUGAACGGUCAGUGCAGCUCCUUGACCAGAUCCCAUCCUAUGACACUCACAAGAUUGCUGUCCUGUAUGUGGGAGAAGGCCAGGUAAGGCCCUGGAGUCAGCAUAGGACUACUGGGUCUCAACAGUGGGUGUAGGUCUCUCCCACCUUAGAGUUCAGUCUGAUUCUUUGAUACUCUGGAGUACUGGGAGCUUGUUGAGCCCUGAGCCAGAAGCACAGCCAUGAGAUGACAGACAGGCCAAUGUAUUGGUAUGCAGAGCUGUGAGGACUGCAGGGUGCAUGCACACAAUAGCAGGGCUCUGAGGUCCUAGGAUGGGCCACUGAGUGAGAAUAGCUAAGUGGCAGCAGACAGAGGGC